CUGGCCCCAACUCUUUGAACAACAACAUAAUGGAAAGAACGCGAUUAGGAAGUGUUAUGGGUCGAAGAAAUUAGACCGCUUGAUGGAUUUCAGCUCACACCUACCAAGAUUUUCAUGGAAGAGGAAUUGGAGUUGAAUAUGGAGAAGGUUGUGAGACAUUCAGACAAGAUGGGCCCUUGAAAGUUGAAGUUGUAAGCAUUUUAUUGUCUAUCUUAGCUUAUAUUAGUUUAAAUCAAACAUGUUUCCUGUGAAAUGAAAAUCUGAUCCUAAAUUUUGAAGUUAAUCAUCAGCUAAUUUGAUGCAAA